CUGCAACUCGACUGCACGAAGCUGGAAUCGCUAGUAAUCGCGGAUCAGCACGCCGCGGUGAAUACGUUCCCGGGCCUUGUACACACCGCCCGUCACACCAUGGAAGUCUGCAAUGCCCGAAGCCGGUGGCCUAACCACUUAUGUGGAAGGAGCCGUCUAAGGCAGGGCAGAUGACUGGGGUGAAGUCGUAACAAGGUACC
rnacentral:rRNA from 1 species